GACGAACGCUGGCGGCGUGCUUAACACAUGCAAGUCGAACGGUGAAGCGCCUUCCGCAGUGUUGGGGGUGGACGAGCGGCGAACGGGCGAGUAACACGUCAGUAACCCGCCUCCGUCUUCGGGAUAGCCGCAUGAAAGUGUGGCUAAUACGGGAUAUUCUGGGUGUGUCGCAUGAUGGGUCUGGGAAAUGUAGUGUGUCGGUGGGGGAUGGGCUCGCGGCCUAGCAGCUUGUUGGUGGGGUGAUGGCCUACCAGGGCGGUGGCGGGUAGCUGGCCUGAGAGGGUGCACGGUCGCACUGGGGGUGGGCCACGGCGGGGCCUCCUACGGGAGGAGGCAGUUGCGGGUAGUGGACGAUGGGAGCAAGGCUGAUGCAGCGACGCCGCGUGGGAGAUAGGCGCCGUGGGGUUGUGCACCUCUCUCGUCGGUGACGCCGGCCUGCCUCGUCUAUGCGUGUGUUGACGGUAGCUAGAUAAGAAGCGCCGGCUAACUACGUG
rnacentral:rRNA from 1 species